rnacentral:lncRNA from 1 species
UUUUUACAUUUGUAGGGGUAGCUGCUAGAAGCAAGCUGUUGGAAGACUACCUACGUAAUUUGCUCCAACUAUUACAAUAACAUUAAUGUCGAAAUACAAUUACACAUCGGAACUUCAUACAAAUAUUAGCACAUUCCUGUAAAACCUAUUAUGUAAUUGUUUGGAAAUUUUGGUUCAAUUGUUUAGAUUUCCCCUCAGAUUAUCAAUUGCAC